rnacentral:lncRNA from 1 species
CUAAUUCAAACACAGUUACGGAUAGCCCAAGGAGAUUUGGGGGAGAAAAACCCUAACCCGGCGAUUACUCAAGAACCACCUCAUCGCAGCGAGACUAACUAAGAUUCGGCACCAUCUAAGAGGUAUGAACUCAUUUCCUUCCGUAUUAACAUAUAUGUGUGUGUUUUGCUUGUUUGAUUGAUGUGUGUUGCACUUUAAUUUGUUGAAUCGCAUGUAUACUGAGUCGUAUGUAUAUGUUUAGUUUAAUUUAUGUGUUAUUGUAAUGUCACAGUAUGGAUUCGUUGGCUAGUUUGUUUGUGCACUACCAUGGGGAUCUGUUGUAUGAACCCUAGAUUCAAUACAAAGGUGGAGUAGUAGAUGUAAUUCCUGGGUUUGAUACGGACGAGUUUUCAUUUAGAGAUUUGGAUGAUUUUGCUAAGAGUUACGGUUAUGAGAAUACUGAUUUGGUUUAUUAUAAAAAAGGGAUGGAUAUUGAGGAUGGGGUGAAGUUGUUGUAUGAUGAUAGUGCUGUGAGGGAAAUGGUAGCUAUUCACCUACCCUUAGGUAGGAUAGAUUUGUAUGUUGAUCACUACUCUUUUGACAACCCAUUCAAAGAAAUGACAACCAGUGACCUCCUACGAAUUUGUUAUGAAAUCACAAAUUAAUAACGUAUAUACUUACAAACUUCAAGCAAAUACAAAAAAGCUUCAAGAUUAAUAACUUGGGCCUAGCACAAGCGAAGAACCUCUUUCCUGGAUUACUGUAAGUCCAAUAAGUGUUCAUCCUUGCCCUCUUACCACACAUACAAUACUUCUGUUCCGGAUUCAUUGAAGCAGAUGAAGAACCUCCUUCUUGGCUCGUCAUGAUACUUUCAGCUUGGGGAAUAAGAUAUUGAAGUUAGGUUACACAAUGAAUUUGGGGGUUUGAGUUUUGGUACAAGAACCCUAGCAACAACUAUAUAUACUACCGUAAUCUAUCGAUAGAUACACCACAAAAACCACGUAGGACAACACCUAGCCGUUACAAUUCACUGUGUCCAACGGCUACAAGCCACAUCAGCUAUCCGUCAAGUCAAACGAGCUUGACUAACGAGACACUCAUUAUUCUAUACUAAAGUGGUGCAACUUAGACCCCGUUAAAAACAAUCAAGCUUUUGAUACAUAGGCCUCACUUCAAUGACUACUUUGAUAUUUAACCCCUUGUUAAACUCUUUACUUGGGAGGAGGGACAAUCACAUUUAUACCCUCUUUCUUAAAGGGGAAAAAACAUGUAUUCACGUUAAAAUAAUUGUAAAAAUCGGUAAUCAAUUAUCGAUUAAAAAUUUAUCAAAGACCUUUUGGAUGAAUCAGAGAUUUUUGGAUAAAUUGAGAAUUUUUGUCAAAUCAGAAUGUCAUCGGUGAUAAGUUUAUUAUUAAAAAAAUUUAAUAGAUCGGGAAUUUUGUUUUAGAACACUGCUUUAAAGGAAUGUAUUUUCAUAUCUAUAGUUAUAUGAAUACAUCAACAACUUUUAAGUAUUUGAAACAUAUUUUGACAAGAAAUGUGCCAAUGAGUAGCUAAAAUUUUCCCUACCUUAUAAUUUGCUCACUAUCCAUCUUGUUGACCCCCUUUUGAAAUGAAAACCAACUUAUAAAGCAGACCUUAAUACAAAUUUCAGGGUUAAAACCAAGACAGAUAUUACUAAUUAGUAAUUACUAAAGAUGAGAGGAGUAAUCAUGUAAAAUAACUAUGAUCCUGUACACGUCAAAUGUUACAACAGUCAAGAAAAGGAAAGGAGUAGGUUAUACUUUUAAUCGAGCGAAUAAUCUUAUAACCUAAUGUUUCUUUUACCAGGAGUUGCGGUUAAUUCUCCGUAUUCUCCUGCGAAACGGUCGACAUGCCUCAAUGCUGAGGUCAACAGCAGCAGCGAGAGCCAUGAAAAUGGCAGCAUCCUCGACGCAUGUAACAUGUCGCAUGGCUAACUGCACUAAUGGCUUGCUGCUCUUGCCUUCCCCCUGUACUCUGCAGCUCAUGACAAAGCCUCCUAUGGCAGGACUUAGUGCUGCAAAGUCACCACUGCUUUGCGGGCUUGGUAAGGGAGUAGCUGCAGCACGAACCUGUCUGUCUGUGUCGAUGUAAAAUUCCCCACCCUUUUCAGCAUUGAUGAGGAUUUCAGACAUAAGAAGUUCUCCCCCUUCUUGGCCUUCGGAGAGCAGGUGAAAACGGCAGCAAAUGGUGUCUCGGAUACCACGUUCACGCCAUGCUUCAAGCUUACCCCAUGGGAGCCAACUGUCAGGUCUGCAAGCAUCAGGUCGAACAAUCAACCAAGCUCCUGGGUUGGAUCUGGCAACCCAAUCACAACCUGUUGAGGGCACAAAGGGAGUUGUUAUAAAGGCUGCUGCAACAGCAGAUCCAGAGAGAUCAUGUAUCUUCACCUUCCAUCCCUUUCUUUCUCUUUUAUCAGCUUCUUGGUUGGAACCAUCGAGAGAACUUGACCCAUAGGCACUUAAUGGAUCUACCUGAGAUUGCCUAAAAAACACAUUAACAAUAUUACAACCCAACAGGAACUCGCUGAACGUUAAUUUACUGUUCUCUUCAUAGAAGGCUAUCACUAAUACCAUAUUAAAAAUAUAUAGGUAUCAAUGCACAAUACCAGAACAGAAUGGAUACUCUUGAAACCCAAUUAUCGGUUUACUAUAGAAAACUAAAACAAUACACAUACAAGAACAUCCACACUUAGCAUCUUUACCUUGCUUGCAAACAUGCCUAUUAAUAUAAAAAGAAAACUAUAAAUGCUAUAACAUCAAAACCUAGCACAUAUACACAUAAACGUCUUCCUUUUUUGGGGCCGGGGUUCUAGUUAAAUGAGCAACAUUUCUCAAAGGAAAUUUACGUUUGCCAACAUAAAUAUAGUUGAUUCAGAUUAUUAAGCAUUUAUUACAAUAAAGAACACAGCUUAGUUCCUUAAUAUAUUUCAGCUUAAACCGUAUAGUACAGAGUUAUUAUGUAAAUUACCUGUCUCGAGUAAACUUGCAACUGAAAAUUGGCUGUCUGAUAUUGCCUUGAAGCUGAACUAUUUGGGGGCUCAGUUUCGUCUCUUCCUCAAAUUGGAAGACGUAUCUCGGAUCUGGAUCCAAUUUAACUCUCAAAUGAAGCUCUGCUCCAGGUUUUCUGCUGUCCUGCUUACUUUUGCCAAUUCUUGUCCAACCACUGAAAAGAAUUGCAGGCUUUCCUUCUCCCCAUUCAGGAGUAACCUCUAGCUUAAAGGUUCCUAUCUGCUUUUUGGAGCCUACACCACAAUUGGACCCCUUCUGCACAGUAAAAACGACUAUUUCCAAACAUGCAUGAGGAGCAUAGAAGCAUCCAGGUGUCAGCAAGGCUUUCAAAUCAGCUUUCUCUAGAUAAAAGCUAGAGGCAAUGCUAGGAGAAUCUGGUGCAGCUUCAGGAGAAGAUACAAAGGGGAUUGGUACUGUUUGCACAGGGAAACCUCUCAGCCGGAUCUCACACGAAUACGGCAAUCCUGAUUUUCUAUUAUUUACAGUUGCCGCGGGAAAUCUUAACCCCAGUGAACCAAUUGACAACCUUAUAAAUGCCUGAGGAUCCAUUCUAGUCACAAUUUCUUCAACAUUUUUUCAAAUAUUUAAUCUUAUUUGAGCUCCAAAAUACCUGCCAGGUCAGUCACAAAUACUUAAAACAUAAGAGGUCAACCCAUUUUGGUAUAGAUGCAGAUAGUGGAAAACUAACUUGUUCCACAGUUAGGGUCACAACUUAUCAAUGUAUAAUCGGGGGUUUUUCCUACAAAGGAAAGUGUAAUCCCUCCUAAAAAGGAGGUUGUACUCUUUUUUUUCAUGAAAAGACAGUUUCAAGGAAUUAUUCUCAGCAAAUGUUAAUCCAAAAUAAUACAAUAUCUUCGAGUGAGAUAACUUCAUCUUAUUGUGUAUAUUUAUAUUACUAUAUGUUUUUAUUAUUGAAAGUCAACAUGAAAUGAAAUGAUUCUUUAAUGUGUGAGACUGCAGAUAUAACAAAUGAGAAUCUUUUUGUGCAAGGAAGUGACACAUUGCAAGUUUACGAGUACGAUUCUCACCGCUACUUGACUUUGUAACUACCAUGUGGAGAAUUCCAUAUGGGUUACUCGUUACUUAAAGCCACCAAUUUACAUACAUAAAAGAAUGUAAAUUUAUAGGAUAACUUAAUUGAGUAGUAACAUUACCAAAGAGAUCAGCAACACAAAAGGAAAUCACAAUCACAUGAAGAUGGCUUAGUAGGGCUACUUUUUAGCUUCGGUCCGCAAUUUCUGACUGAUGUCAUGAUGAAGAGUUUUAAAGAAAUCUGUGAUUUGGACUUGGCCAACAGAAACAAAAGCGCUUAUAAGAACCUAACAAAUGCAUAUCUAUCUCAUAUGGAGAAGCCUUAAAUUCGUUCCCAAACAUGGGUGAGUCACGCCCUUCCCAUCAAAUGCAAUCUUCCACACCUCAUAUUAAUGUUUCUUAGUAAUUGACUAAAAAUUUUAUACUAAAAAGGGCAUGAAAGGACUAAGUAUCACUUGAUAGUAAAAUAGUACAUAUACCAUAUAUAUUGGUACAAUGCUGUGUUGCUAUUGUAUAUUCAACACCAGUGCUUAAUAUCAAGUAAAACCACUAAUCCUAAUUUUACAUGAUAUGGUCUUGGACAAAUAAUUACGAUAUACACAUAUAGCCGGUAUUACAUACAAUCAUUUCUAUUUUUGCAAGUGUCAGUUGCACUCUCCACAAAUUCUCAACCAUUCAUAGCAGUAUUAGCCCUGUUGCAAAUUUUAUCAGUCAUUAUCGUUUAUGCCUCUCCUCUCCCUCAUUUCAGCAGAGCAAUAUCUCCUUUACAAAACCAACUAAACUUGCCAGAAAUGACAUUCUCCACUCUUCUCUAGCUAAAUUGCUUUCUUAAACGUCCGACUAUUUCGCAAACAAAUACAAUAAUUGCAGAAUUAAAAUCAAAUGGUAUUCAUAUCAAUUAUUAUUGCUUAAUGUUUAGCUACACACGUCAUUAUUGUAAAACUCAAAUUUUAUGUUACUCCCCAGCCAUGUCCCAACUAGUUUUAUCCUAGAGUCAAAUGCAGAUUUAUACAAGUGGAGUUUAUGAGCUUCAAGAUGAUUUAUGAUGUAUUUGGCUAGCCCCAUAAACAGUCAUGUAACAUCUUUGUUAUGUCCCCAUGUAACCACCAUAACUAUAUAUGCUUCCACCAUAGCACGGGUAGCUUUAAAUUUAUUAUGUUGAUUUAUUGAUAGAGUAACACUAGACCCAGAUAGUUACAAAUUGAGCACUGUACGUCACAAAUUAAAUAUUUUCCUUCCGAAUUUCCUAUUGCUACCAUCUGCUGAUUUUGUUUACACUUGCUAUAGUGAGUGUGAUGAAUAAAUCAAGAUAACCUAAUGUCAAUGUUUCCAAUCGAUGACACAGAGUGGGUUUAUGAAGCCGGCAAAUCAUGAAAGCAUAAAGGACUUCCAGCACCCUAAAUAAAUUGUAAGAAAAUCAGCUUAUAGUAUAAUAUUAGAAUACGACAAGUUUGCGGACAAUUUACUACAAAGAAUGAUUUAACAUACGAGUUCUGAACUAAUAAACAGUACAACGACUAUUGCUCGACCCACACAUCACAAUCACACUAGAGCUCCUCCAUCCCAGAUAAUUAAUGGAGUGACUAACGAUUGAGUUUGACGAACACGCACACACAUGCAUGAGCAUGUAUGUCAUGGAACCCAUUACUACCAUAGUUGUGCCAUCUUAAUCUAAUAUGGCCACAAAUAGGCAAGAAAAGGCAAUAAAAAUAAUAAUGUAAUGGCAAACUUUGUCGUAUUUGACAAUUGACAUAGCCAAGGUACGCCAUUUUAAAAUUUAAGUAAUUUGCAAUACAAUAUGUAAGAGCUAUAUACUGAAUUCGAGUAUAUUUUAUUAUAUUGUUAUGAUGAAGUAGUGCAUUCUGAUUAAUAAAUUAAAGGCUUCCGAUCAUUCCAACAGAGACUGUGUCGCACGUCACUAUAGAUCCUUCUUUUUUAUCACAACUUAAGGGGCCAUAUUUGUCUACUUCAUAGUUUCCGUAAAACUCAAGUUAUGUAGUGUGAUCAAUUUAGAAGAAAAAGCAAGUGCACAACAAAAUGUUUAUAGAAACGUAUCAGCUAUGAAUUUAUGUAAUCUAACCCUCAGCACACCAUUUACUACAAUCCACUAUGCAUGUAACUUAGUCUAGAAACCGUAAAGCGUCCAGUUCCUAAUAUACAAACCAAAGUUCUUUGCUUUACCUUGUUAGUCACUGAUACUAGAACAUGUGCCCACAUGUGGCUCUAACUGUUACUAGCCAGUUUAUAUGUGUGUAUUAAGCAAAUGAUAUCCAAAUAAGAAACAUUAUAGCUGUGUUUUACAGGGCCCUUCCGGAGCAAGGCGAUAAUGACUCACCAAUGUAUAGUAGACCCUGCAGACCUGGACUUAAAGUAUUACAAGGAAAUUGGUAGAAAAGAAACUAGAUUUUCUUUGAACAAUAUGAAUACAUAAUCCAGAUUUCAAACAUCACAAGCUGACGGAAAGAAGAGAUAAAGGUGUAUGAAGCAAAUCCAAGCUAUUUUAACUUCUAUCAUAGGCUUUGCUCAACAAGGUAAUUCUCAACAGGACAACAGUAAUCUUCGUCAUUUAUCAAUAAAAUGCUCCCACCAGUCAUUUUGCAUAAUCAGAUACUACAAGACCACAAAAUUACUAAUAAUGUCAUUACUACUAGUCAUAGUAAUAAUGACAGUGCUACUGGUCAUUUAUGUGAAGUAAACUUCUUCAUUCGAUAGUUUGAUACUAAUAAUACUACUGGCAGAAGACUUGAGAAACUACGCUAUAAACGAGCAUGUCUUGUUUUCUACGGAGUAGUCUCUAUAAUAUCUGCCUCAUUGCAAGUUGUCCAAUAAAAUUAUCUUCUAUGAUCUAUCAUAAAUGACUAAACCUACGAAAAUGCCUCUUCCAGUUCUACUUUCUUACCAUUACAGAAUGUUAUCUGGUAUUUGUAUGUGUAUGCUUCACUUUCUCUGAUUCACCUUCAAAACCCAAAGGACUCAAAUAUAUACUUACAAGAUGUAACCAGCAAGACUUGCAGAAUGCAUUAAUCUAUGCUACCCAUUACCUACUUCCCAAUUUUAUAUCUUCUGAGACAUACAAAACAACUCUCACAUAUCAACUAAUUUGGUGAUC